UUUUUUUUUUUUUGAGACUGAGUCUGGCUCUGUCGCCCAGACUGGAGUGCAGUGGCCGGAUCUCAGCUCACUGCAAGCUCCGCCUCCCGGGUUUACGCCAUUCUCCUGCCUCAGCCUCCAGAGUAGCUGGGACCACAGGCGCCCGCCACCUCGCCCGGCUAGUUUUUUGUAUUUUUUUUUAGUAGAGACGGGGUUUCACCGUGUUAGCCAGGAUGGUCUCGAUCUCCUGACCUUGUGAUCCGCCCGUCUCAGCCUCCCAAAGUGCUGGGAUUACAGGCUUGAGCCACCGCGCCCGGCUCAUCUUCAAUCUUGUAUGUGUGAAUACCGCUCCCUGACUUCCUGAAAACAGGUAACAUCCACACGUGGAGAUUUCCCAUCUCUUGGAGCAGCAAACCCGUCUGAGGUGCCUGCAUAGCUCAGUUCCGGGGCUCCGGGGGCUGUGCCCACAGCCUCCCCGUCCUUCGGCUCCCACGUCAGGGUUCCCGGUCCACGCCGUGCUGUUCUGCAUCAAAUGUGACCGGAAAGUCACAGGUGGGUAAUUCAGGACUUAUUCAGGUCACAUGGUAUCACACACUGACUUAGUGCAAACACAUAUCUGAGGCACAGCUGUGGGACAAUGAAGUCACAGGUACCUCUGGAUCUGUUUUCUCUUCUGCAAAAUGGGGACACAUUUUCUAUCUCACAACAAAGUUACAGGACUAGUCAAGAUGAAUGUGAAAGCACCUUAUAAACUGGAAAGCAUUAAAAAAGCAUGUAACAUCCACUAUUAGUGUAAGAAUUCACAUGUAACACAAAGUAACAAUGUCGUUGUCUACAUAGCUUUAGGAAUCCUAUGCCAGGGAGGUGUGACAUUAAUGAAGUCAAGUCUCAUUUCCACAUAUACGCUCACGCCAGACUCUCAGUGCCACCAGCUAUCGCGAACUGUUGGCCUUUCAGACAGGCCUGUAGCAGAGAAUGCAAACUGGUCCACUGAUUUUCCGUUAUUUGUCCAUCAUGAAAUUAAAAGCUCUUUAAAACCUUUAGCUCACGAGAAAUCUAGGGGAUUUACAAUCACCAAACAGAACCUUUCCUAACAUUUCAACAAUGGUGUCCCUCUGCGGUUUUGAACUAAACCUGCAAACUGCUCCAGUGGCGACUGGGUUUCAACAGCUCUACGUGCGGAAACUUAAUAAAGUAUAAUUAGGUCUGCCACCCUGUAGGCUUCUAAAAUCCUACCUUGUAAUACAAAUAUACUCAACAUCCAAAUAUAAAUCACAAAAACAUUCGCUCAACCUACGUAGAUUUUUGAAAAUGAAGCACUCCAUUACAAAGGCUACAUUUCAAUCCAAGAUUUCAUUUUGCCAACGCACAACUAAACAGCUCGCCACCCUGCAGAGAACACACAGGAACUGCAGCUACCGAAGGGAAUGACCACAGGAAGGUUACACAGAGAGGAAGGCGGGCACCAUGGUACGGGGAGCCGGCUCCACAGAGAGGAAGGCGGGCAUCUUGGUGUGGGGAGUCAGCUACACAGAGAAGACGAUGGGCACCACGGUGCAGGAGCCAGCUCCACAGAAAGGAAGGCGGGCAUCUUGGUGUGGGGAGUCAGCUACACAGAGGAAGGCGGGCACCACGGUGCAGGAGCCGGCUCCGAUGAGCUGGACACAACUGGUGGCUGCCAAGAACUCCCCAC
ensembl:lncRNA